rnacentral:lncRNA from 1 species
AUCUACACUUGUCUUAUUAUAGGAAAUAACAAUGGCCCUUGUUUUCAAAAUGUAUUAAAAAUGUUUUGUUUUAAAAGUAUACUUCAAGGACACAGCCUCUGUAAGGUUCCCAUUUAAUGGUAACAUUCAAAAGUAAGAGAAUCUGAAAUUAGUUUGCUGUGGCUGGGCUGUCUACAGGAUAAAGCCGGGUCAUACGUAAGUUAGCUCUUCCCUUCGCCUGGAUCCACAGCUAAGUGGAUCUAGGUGAUGAUGUGCAGUGAGGAGCAACCGUGUUAGAACACUGGUCCCUGAGGCACCUCAAAGGCAGACUUUAGGGUUUCUCUCUCUCUCCCUCUCUGUUUUAGACCAAUAAAGAAUGUUUAUCUUUUAGCAAGAAAAUGGUUCUUUACACAAACAUCUUCAGAUAGUAAAAAUCACACAGCAAUGAGAAAUCCGUUGCUACACUGAGUUAGAAAACCAGUUUCACAGGAUGUUUGAGUAAAGUAGCAUGGGUCCCUUCCCCUGCAGUCUGUGCGUCUUAGCUGUGUGUGCAGAGCGCACUUCCUCUUGCCACCUCAGACCUCAGAUUUUCUCUGUGAUUAGAAUACCCUGUAUUCAGCCGCCUCUCUGGACAAGAACUUGCAGAAUGCUCCUUCUGCUGCGGGGCAUCCUGGUGGCCUCUCUGUGGACGUGUGAGUUGCUUUACCCAAGGGACAUCUCGCUCAUUGGAAGGGAGGCACAGAAAAUGUGGACAUUUAUUUAUUUUUAAUUUUUACUUUUAUUUUAAGUUCAGGGGUACAUGUGCAGGUUUGUUAUAUAGGUAAACUUGUGUCAUGGGGUUUGUUGUACAGAUUAUUUCGUUACCCAGGUACUAAACCUGGUACCCAUCCAUUAUUUUUCCUGUAUUUGGUUUCCUGCUCCUGUGUUAGUUUGCUAAGGAUAAUGGCCUCCACUUCCAACCAUGUCCCUGUAAAGGACAUGAUUUUGUUCUUUUUAUGGCUGCAUAGUAUUGCAUGGUAUCCCCAUCAAUCCCAUUACUGGGUAUAUACCCAAGAGAAUAUAAAUCAUUCUGUUACAAAGACACAUGCAUGUGUAUGUUCAUUGCAGCGCUAUUCACAAUAGCAGAUAUGAAUCAACCUAAGCGUGGACAUUUAAAUCACACUAUUUUCAGGUGGAACAAAGCCACAUGGUCAUUCAGGCUAAGCUGACAAAUUCCACCAUUACCUUGAGCUCUUCAGGAAGAAAAUGUAAACUUCACACCCAAGCUUUCCCUUAAUAGAGAACAAACAUACUAUCUUAAUCAACAUCAACAUUUCAUAUUGAAAAAUUUCAAAAUUUUUGGUUUUUCUUUCAGAUACAAGCGGAGAAAAUCUCAUAACACAACUUGUAACAUCUGUCACGAAGAAAAAAGGAAAUACAGCAUUUUUUGAAUGCCAGAUAAAAUCCAGUACCUUUAAGAAGAAUGUAUGUAUACACUGGUACCACCAGAAGCCAGAC